rnacentral:lncRNA from 1 species
GAAGUUGAUUUACUGUAAGCUGAGUUCUGAAUCCAACCUCUCUGCUGGGGGUGUAACCAACUAUGUGUUAUUACAAAGACUCCUCUCCUGACUGAAUAAGGACCUGCAAGCUGAAUGUGUUCCUCAGACACAAUGCUUUGUUUAUAAAAAAAGGGGGGAUUGAAUGGAGGCAGGCAGAAAGCAGCUCUGUUCUUACUGCCAUGUGAUCUUACACACUUACUGUGUGGAGACACUAUAGCAGAAUUAUGGUUAGUGUGUGUUUUAUAUCAAACAUCCAAUCUGGUAAACUAAGGAGACAACCCUUACAUGAAUAUCAAGAGCAGGUAGAGAGGAAAGGUGGUGAUAUCAAGAGCAGGUAGAGAGGAACGGUGGUGAUAUCAGGAGCAGGUAGAGAGGAAAGGUGGUGAUAUCAGGAGCAGGUAGAGAGGAAAGGUGGUGAUAUCAGGAGCAGGUACAGAGGAAAGGUGGUGAUAUCAGGAGCAGGUAGAGAGGAAAGGUGGUGAUAUCAGGAGCAGGUAGAGAGGAAAGGUGGUGAUAUCAGGAGCAGGUAGAGAGGAAAGGUGGUGAUAUCAGGAGCAGGUAGAGAGGAAAGGUGGUGAUAUCAGGAGCAGGUAGAGAGGAAAGGUGGUGAUAUCAGGAGCAGGUAGAGAGGAAAGGUGUUAAUAUCAGGAGCAGGUAGAGAGGAAAGGUGGCGAUAUCAGGAGCAGGUAGAGAGGAAAGGUGUUAAUAUCAGGAGCCGGUAGAGAGGAAAGGUGGUGAUAUCAGGAGCCGGUAGAGAGGAAAGGUGGUGAUAUCAGGAGCAGGUAGAGAGGAAAGGUGGUGAUAUCAG